UACCCGCUGAACUUAAGCAUAUCAAUAAGCGGAGGAAAAGAAACCAACAGGGAUUGCCCUAGUAACGGCGAGUGAAGCGGCAACAGCUCAAAUUUGAAAUCUGGCUCUUUUAGAGUCCGAGUUGUAAUUUGCAGAGGGCGCUUUGGCUUUGGCAGCGGUCCAAGUUCCUUGGAACAGGACGUCACAGAGGGUGAGAAUCCCGUACGUGGUCGCUAGCUAUUGCCGUGUAAAGCCCCUUCGACGAGUCGAGUUGUUUGGGAAUGCAGCUCUAAAUGGGAGGUAAAUUUCUUCUAAAGCUAAAUACUGGCCAGAGACCGAUAGCGCACAAGUAGAGUGAUCGAAAGAUGAAAAGCACUUUGGAAAGAGAGUCAAACAGCACGUGAAAUUGUUGAAAGGGAAGCGCUUGCAGCCAGACUUGCUUGCAGUUGCUCAUCCGGGCUUUUUUGCCCGGUGCACUCUUCUGCAGGCAGGCCAGCAUCAGUUUGGGCGGUGGGAUAAAGGUCUCUGUCACGUACCUCUCUUCGGGGAGGCCUUAUAGGGGAGGCGACAUACCACCAGCCUGGACUGAGGUCCGCGCAUUUUGCUAGGAUGCUGGCGUAAUGGCUGUAAGCGGCCCGUCUUGAAACACGGACCAAGGAGUCUAACAUCUAUGCGAGUGUUUGGGUGUCAAGCCCGAACGCGUAAUGAAAGUGAACGGAGGUGGGAACCCGCAAGGGUGCACCAUCGACCGAUCCUGAUGUCUUCGGAAGGAUUUGAGUAAGAGCAUGGCUGUUGGGACCCGAAAGAUGGUGAACUAUGCUUGAAUAGGGUGAAGCCAGAGGAAACUCUGGUGGAGGCUCGCAGCGGUUCUGACGUGCAAAUCGAUCGUCAAAUUUGGGCAUAGGGGCGAAAGACUAAUCGAACUAUCUAGUAGCUGGUUCCUGCCGAAGUUUCCCUCAGGAUAGCAGUAACGUAUUCAGUUUUAUGAGGUAAAGCGAAUGAUUAGAGGCCUGGGGGUUGAAACAACCUUCACCUAUUCUCAAACUUUAAAUAUGUAAGAAGUGUUUGUUACUUAAUUGAACGUACACAUUUGAAUGAAGCGUUAUUAG
rnacentral:rRNA from 1 species